rnacentral:rRNA from 1 species
CGGUAAUACGAAGGGACCUAGCGUAGUUCGGAAUUACUGGGCUUAAAGAGUUCGUAGGUGGUUAAAAAAGUUGGUGGUGAAAUCCCAGAGCUUAACUCUGGAACUGCCAUCAAAACUAAAACUUUUAGCUAGAGUAUGAUAGAGGAAAGCAGAAUUUCUAGUGUAGAGGUGAAAUUCGUAGAUAUUAGAAAGAAUACCGAUUGCGAAGGCAGCUUUCUGGAUCAUUACUGACACUGAGGAACGAAAGCAUGGGUAGCGAAGAGGAUUAGAUACCCUCGUAGUCCAUGCCGUAAACGAUGUGUGUUAGACGUUGGAAAUUUAUUUUCAGUGUCGCAGCGAAAGCAAUAAACACACCGCCUGGGGAGUACGACCGCAAGGUUAAAACUCAAAUGAAUUGACGGGGACCCGCACAAGUAGUGGAGCAUGUGGUUUAAUUCGAAGAUACGCGCAGAACCUUACCAACACUUGACAUGUUCGUCGCGACUCUAAGAGAUUAGAGUUUUCGGUUCGGCCGGACGAAACACAGGUGCUGCAUGGCUGUCGUCAGCUCGUGUCGUGAGAUGUUGGGUUAAGUCCCGCAACGAGCGCAACCCUCACUUUUAGUUGCCAUCAUUAAGUUGGGCACUCUGAAAGAACUGCCGGUGAUAAGCUGGAGGAAGGUGGGGAUGACGUCAAGUCCUCAUGGCCCUUACGUGUUGGGCUACACACGUGCUACAAUGGUAUCUACAACAGGAAGCAAGAUGGCAACAUUAAGCAAAUCCUAAAAAGAUACCUCAGUUCGGAUUGCACUCUGCAACUCGAGUGCAUGAAGCUGGAAUUACUAGUAAUCGUGGAUCAGCGUGCCACGGUGAAUACGUUCCCGGG